CUUCCACCCAAAAAGGGGUUUCCCACUGCGUCUGGGCAAAUUUCGGCCGCUAAAUCUUCCCCCAGCCCACAAAAUUGCCACCGCCCAUCAGUAUUUUCCGCUGCCGCCAACGCGUCUUGGCUCCGCGCACCUGCUUCUUCCGCUCUCAGAAAAGACAAAAUACCUGCAUUGUGAGGUCUUGCCAGCAGUGAGCUGCCUGGUCUGGUCUUCAUCCUUCUUGCUAUUUAAUUAUUUGUUUAUCAAUGGAUGUAAAUAGGACAACUAUUGAGAUCUGGAAUGUGGCAGCAGGUAUUAUCAACUUCAACUUAGAAAAUUAUGAAGAUGACAUGAUAUGUAUUUCUUUUAUUGGCGGCGCCGGAGAUCGAGGUGAGAGGAGAAGUCGGCCCAGCCCGUAGGUGAAGAUCGCCAUCUCCCUUGUGAAAAACAAUUUAAUUAAAUAAAAUAAAAUCUGAGCUCGUUUUUUCUGUAACGCCCCUCCGCCUAUUUUCGUUCUCAAUUCCGAGCAACGGCGGUACUGUAUCAAGCUUUUAAUUUGACGUUAAGGGACGCAUAAUUAGCCGUCUAUAAGGGUAUGGCACCUAGGAAAAACAGGAACAAAAUGAACAGGUUGUUUCUGGCAAGGCACUACUGAAGAAUGGGAAAAAAAACUGCUGAAUCUACUCUAGAAGAGGAAGUUUCCGACAGGAAACAGCGGAAGACUAAAAAGCUAGUGACGCAAAAUAAACUGUUUCACCUCCUGUGGUUAAGAAGAAGCCUUGUACGUGGCUUAAGCUUGAUAGGCUUGUCCCUCAAAC